rnacentral:rRNA from 1 species
UAUGCACGCUGGCGGCGUGCCUAAUACAUGCAAGUCGAGCGAACAGAUGAGGAGCUUGCUCCUCUGACGUUAGCGGCGGACGGGUGAGUAACACGUGGAUAACCUACCUAUAAGACUGGGAUAACUUCGGGAAACCGGAGCUAAUACCGGAUAAUAUAUUGAACCGCAUGGUUCAAUAGUGAAAGACGGUUUUGCUGUCACUUAUAGAUGGAUCCGCGCCGCAUUAGCUAGUUGGUAAGGUAACGGCUUACCAAGGCAACGAUGCGUAGCCGACCUGAGAGGGUGAUCGGCCACACUGGAACUGAGACACGGUCCAGACUCCUACGGGAGGCAGCAGUAGGGAAUCUUCCGCAAUGGGCGAAAGCCUGACGGAGCAACGCCGCGUGAGUGAUGAAGGUCUUCGGAUCGUAAAACUCUGUUAUUAGGGAAGAACAAAUGUGUAAGUAACUAUGCACGUCUUGACGGUACCUAAUCAGAAAGCCACGGCUAACUACGUG